UACGUAGGAGGCAGCGUUGUCCGGAGUUACUGGGCGUAAAGCGCACGCAGGCGGUCAGAUCAGUCUGGAGUGACAGUCGUCGGCUUAACCGACGAAGUGUUCUGGAAACUGUCUGACUUGAGGGCUUCAGAGGGACACGGAAUUCCGGAUGGAGUGGUGAAAUGCGUAGAUAUCCGGAGGAACACCAAUGGCGAAGGCAGUGUCCUGGGAAGUACCGUGACGCUCAGGUGGC
rnacentral:rRNA from 1 species